rnacentral:rRNA from 1 species
UAGAGUAUGUUUAAACGCUAGAAGCUUUUCUUGGCAGUGUGACGUCACUAACUUCGCUACUAAACUUCGCUCCCCAUCACAGCUCAAUGUUAUAGAAUUAAGCAUUUGACUCAAUUCACACCUCACUGCUUAGACAGACUCUUCCAAUCGUCUGCUUUAGUUAGCCUACUGCGUCCCUCCAUCACUACAUACUCUAGUACAGGAAUAUCAACCUGUUGUCCAUCGGAUACACCUUUCGGUCUCUCCUUAGGUCCCGACUAACCCAGGGCGGACGAGCCUUCCCCUGGAAACCUUAGUCUUACGGUGGACAGGAUUCUCACCUGUCUUUCGCUACUCAUACCGGCAUUCUCACUUCUAUGCGUUCCAGCACUCCUCACGGUAUACCUUCAUCACACAUAGAACGCUCUCCUACCAUACCUAUAAAGGUAUCCACAGCUUCGGUAAAUUGUUUUAGCCCCGGUACAUUUUCGGCGCAGGGUCACUCGACUAGUGAGCUAUUACGCACUCUUUGAAUGAAUAGCUGCUUCUAAGCUAACAUCCUAGUUGUCUGUGCAACCCCACAUCCUUUUCCACUUAACAAUUAUUUUGGGACCUUAGCUGGUGGUCUGGGCUGUUUCCCUUUCGACUACGGAUCUUAGCACUCGCAGUCUGACUGCCGACCAUAAUUCAUUGGCAUUCGGAGUUUAUCUGAGAUUGGUAAUCCGGGAUGGACCCCUCACCCAAACAGUGCUCUACCUCCAAGAAUCUCUAAUGUCGACGCUAGCCCUAAAGCUAUUUCGGAGAGAACCAGCUAUCUCCAAGUUCGUUUGGAAUUUCUCCGCUACCCACAAGUCAUCCAAGCACUUUUCAACGUGCCCUGGUUCGGUCCUCCAGUGCGUCUUACCGCACCUUCAACCUGCUCAUGGGUAGGUCACAUGGUUUCGGGUCUACGUCAUGAUACUAAGGCGCCCUAUUCAGACUCGGUUUCCCUACGGCUCCGUCUCUUCAACUUAACCUCGCAUCAUAACGUAACUCGCCGGUUCAUUCUACAAAAGGCACGCUCUCACCCAUUAACGGGCUCGAACUUGUUGUAGGCACACGGUUUCAGGUUCUAUUUCACUCCCCUCCCGGGGUGCUUUUCACCUUUCCCUCACGGUACUGGUUCACUAUCGGUCACUAGGGAGUAUUUAGGGUUGGGAGNGGGCAAACCGAAGAGUUUACUCUUCGGGGUUGUAGGACUGCAAUGUGGACUCAAAGAUUAUAGAAGAAUGAUUUGGGAAGAUCAGCCAAAGAGAGUAAUAGCCUCGUAUUUAAAAUAGUCUUUGUACCUAGCAGUAUCCUGAGUACGGCGGGACACGUGAAAUCCCGUCGGAAUCUGGGAGGACCAUCUCCCAACCCUAAAUACUCCCUAGUGACCGAUAGUGAACCAGUACCGUGAGGGAAAGGUGAAAAGCACCCCGGGAGGGGAGUGAAAUAGAACCUGAAACCGUGUGCCUACAACAAGUUCGAGCCCGUUAAUGGGUGAGAGCGUGCCUUUUGUAGAAUGAACCGGCGAGUUACGUUAUGAUGCGAGGUUAAGUUGAAGAGACGGAGCCGUAGGGAAACCGAGUCUGAAUAGGGCGCCUUAGUAUCAUGACGUAGACCCGAAACCAUGUGACCUACCCAUGAGCAGGUUGAAGGUGCGGUAAGACGCACUGGAGGACCGAACCAGGGCACGUUGAAAAGUGCUUGGAUGACUUGUGGGUAGCGGAGAAAUUCCAAACGAACUUGGAGAUAGCUGGUUCUCUCCGAAAUAGCUUUAGGGCUAGCGUCGACAUUAGAGAUUCUUGGAGGUAGAGCACUGUUUGGGUGAGGGGUCCAUCCCGGAUUACCAAUCUCAGAUAAACUCCGAAUGCCAAUGAAUUAUGGUCGGCAGUCAGACUGCGAGUGCUAAGAUCCGUAGUCGAAAGGGAAACAGCCCAGACCACCAGCUAAGGUCCCAAAAUAAUUGUUAAGUGGAAAAGGAUGUGGGGUUGCACAGACAACUAGGAUGUUAGCUUAGAAGCAGCUAUUCAUUCAAAGAGUGCGUAAUAGCUCACUAGUCGAGUGACCCUGCGCCGAAAAUGUACCGGGGCUAAAACAAUUUACCGAAGCUGUGGAUACCUUUAUAGGUAUGGUAGGAGAGCGUUCUAUGUGUGAUGAAGGUAUACCGUGAGGAGUGCUGGAACGCAUAGAAGUGAGAAUGCCGGUAUGAGUAGCGAAAGACAGGUGAGAAUCCUGUCCACCGUAAGACUAAGGUUUCCAGGGGAAGGCUCGUCCGCCCUGGGUUAGUCGGGACCUAAGGAGAGACCGAAAGGUGUAUCCGAUGGACAACAGGUUGAUAUUCCUGUACUAGAGUAUGUAGUGAUGGAGGGACGCAGUAGGCUAACUAAAGCAGACGAUUGGAAGAGUCUGUCUAAGCAGUGAGGUGUGAAUUGAGUCAAAUGCUUAAUUCUAUAACAUUGAGCUGUGAUGGGGAGCGAAGUUUAGUAGCGAAGUUAGU